UUGGUGGUAAAAUGGUAGAUAUGCGAAACACAAAAUCUCAUGCUAAAGAGCAUAGAGGUUCGAGUCCUCUUCAAGGCAUAAUAUUGAGAAUGCUCAUUGAAUGAGCAUUCACAAUUGGAAUAAAUUCGGCAGUGGAUCACAAAAUCUUGGUGAUCUUCUCUAUCUAAUUAAUGGGGAGUCUGCUUUAAAAUCGUCCGCCCUGCACCCACCCCCCAAGUAUAUGCUUCAACAAGAAUCACACAAGGGUAGAUUAGAAACCUCUAGUAAAAUGCCCACCCAUAACCCAACAGAUAAUUUACAUUACAUAGUCCAGGGAUUGGCGGCUUACCCAUUCAGUGAAUUUGGCACUGGAUGUUCCAAAAAUGGGGACUAUCGGGUAAAUUUAAUAUAAUAGAUACCUAUUGGCAUUCCAGCCUUCCUUAUCCUUUCAAGGCUUAUCCAAAAUAGAAUCCAGUACUUCUUGGUCAUGAAUAUCUGAAUUGGAUAUUUGCUGUUCAAGAAUUCUUGUUUAGGCAGUUCAUACCAUCCAUACAUAGUAUUUUGAUCUAAGAUUACAAUUCUUCCAUAUUUCAGUAGUAACAUAUUCUUCCAUGGAGCUAAGGUCCAAAAUAUGGAAGAAACAAGUGUUUCCAUGACUCUACCACCCAUUCAAUUCUGUUCCACUUAAUCCCUCUUUCAUGGCCACUAUCUUUUCGACUAAGGAAUGGGAAAUCUUUCUCCUGUUACAUGAAUCCAAUUUUCAUUUAAUCCGAGAAAAGCCAUUUUUUUCUUAACAAUGUCUUUAUCAUUUGAUCCAAUAGCAUUCCAUUAGAUAGGAACAGAUUUGAUAAAUACUGAUAACUCUCGGAUAGAGUAUUAGAACAGAAAGAUCCAUUUAGAUAAUAAACUAUUGGUUCUAAGCCAUCUCUGACGAUUAAUCAACAAUUCGAAGUGCUUUUCUUGUGUAUUCUUGAUAAACCAGCAUUUAUAUAUAGAUGUAGGACGAUCUGUUUGGGAAGUAAGAAGCCCCUUUGACAUCUCUUUAUCUGUAAAUAAUUCUCGACGUGAAAACAUAGAGUCAGGGAGUUGAUCUUUGAAUAAGAAAAAAGAGUGGAUCUGCAGGGUCCCAAAUGAAUUAGCUUAUUCGAAAAAGGCUUUUUUCUUUGGAAGAUUAUCUCGUCUGGUACUACAUGGUUCCACUCUGCAAGAACCCCGAAUAAAUCUCUUCAAGCUUAUCCUUUUCAUCAUAAAUGAUCUGCUUAUCCCGAAAUGACCUGGACUAAUACGGAAAUCCCAAUUCAUUGGGCUUUUUGAUACAAUCAAAUAGAAAGCCACAAGGGCUUCAUAUUCUAGAAGCCCAAACAAUGUGAUUGAAUAAAUCCUCCUAUGGGUCAAGGGCUCCUUCUCUCUCCACUUCUUCAAACUUAGUUUCAUUGAGAAAUCUUUGAUCAAGGAUAGACCAAGAUCCCUUUUGUAUCAUAUCUAAGGGAUUGCUCGAUUCGGGCUAAAGAAGCAAUGUUACUCGAUCAUUAUCAAACUAACUGCAAUCCUUUUCUGUCCAUGAAGAUCCCACCAGAGCGCCUUCUACUUCUAAUAGGCCAUGAGAUAGAUCAGAAUCAUUCUCAAUGAGUCCAUAAGAAGUAAUCCCAUUUUUAUCGGGUCUGGAUAAAUACCAAAGAUCUUGAGCGACCGAUCCGGCAGAACAACUCAAAAGAUAAAGAAGUAUCGCUAAUCUCUUCAUGCUCGUUCCAAGCUCAAAGUACCAUUUGUACAAAUAAUAAUCCCCUUUGUUACAUGAUUUCUUCUUCAUAUAAAUAGAUAUAGGAUCUAUGGGGAAAUUACUUAGAAGUACAUUUUGUGGUACAGCCCUUCCUAUCUGAUAGAAAAGGAUCCCAUGAUCCUAAAUCGAUCUUACCUGGGAUCACAAAUCCCAAGUUUGUCUAUGAAGAACAUAUCUAAUUGUAUUAGUGUCUAUAAUUUAUUUCUUCUGUGUAAUACUAAUCAAUAAGACCUUAUUGGUAAGUUCUAAAAGAUCUUGUGCAUUGGAAACCAUGGUUAUAGACCCAAAUCCAUUAGUAUGGAACAUUUUCUUUUCCAAGUGAAAUCCCCUAGUAUAUGAAAGAGUGAAAAAGUGCUUUUGUUGUUGUGGAAUAAGAAGCCUUCAUAGCUUAUGCAUGUAUUUAAUUUAUUCAGAACUAUUAGAGUGCGAUCCAUUUUUUGGGGAAUAUGAGUCGAAGUAAUAACAAGAAUAUUUCUAGUAGAACAUCUUUCCCAAUACCUAGAGAGAUGGUUCACUAAUAGACCGAGGGAUAAGCCAUUCGACUCAUUCACAUCCAGAUUAUGAAUGUUUUGAAUCCAUAUUAUUCAAGGAGACAUUGAUUUUGGUAAUUUAAAUUGAAGGGUUAUAUUAAAUCAGUCUAUUUCCGGCAUCCUAGUUAGCAGUUCCCGCUCCGUAUCAAGGUCACAUCGAUAUCGUCACUAGCAUCAACAUUGUCACUAGCAUCAAUAUUGUCACUAUCAUCAAUAUCGUCACUAUCAUCAAUAUUGAUCUCAUCAAGAAGAAAACCUUUAGGCUUGUUAUAUAGGAACUUGUUCAGAAAUACCGUAAUGAAAGGAACAUAGGAGUUUGUCUCUAGGUUAUUAACCAAAUAGGAUCAUCCAGUUCUUAUAAAACCUAUCACUAACAUACCCCUAAAAGGGGGUUAAGGCUAAGCAGAGCAAAAAGGGUUUUCCAUGAUAUGGGAAAUGAAAAAUAUUUUCCCCACACGAAGUUUGUGAAUCAGUGAUUGUCUGAUAAUGAGCAAAGAAUAUCCAUUUUCCUGCUAAAUAGGAUGGAUUGAACUCAUAAUUCAUUAGAUGUUAUUUAUGAAUUUAAACUAAGUAUCAUAAGUAAAUUGCUCUUGAUUGUUCAAUCCUUUGAUAACCAAAGUCAUUCUUUGAUAAAUGAUCACUAUGAGUCAGACUCAAUAGAAUUUGAUCAAUCCUAUUUUCUGUCGUUAAGGUGGAGAGCUGAAACAAGAAUUCUUUUUUUCCAUCAUGAAUCGAAUCACUGUUCACGACCCAGAAUUCUAUUUUCUCAUCAAUCCAAUCCCCGUUCACGUUUUUCUUUUUCUUAUCAAUGAAUAGAUCUCUUUAUUGUAUGACUUAGAUGUCUCAUAUUUCUCAAAAAAGUGAUUCAAUUGAUAGGAUUUGGUAUGAGAUCAUUGAUCUUGAUGAUAUUGAUAUUCCAAUCUUUCUUCUUAGAACGUAUUGAUUUGACCCCAUAAGCGGGACCAAGCAUGUUGCCGCCAGAAGCAGAACCCCAUAUUUCUUCUAGAGAAUCUCCUAAUUGUUUCAGAGAAACUAGAAAGAGAUUCUUUAACCAGAAAGAAUUUGGUUCAGAUAUAGGAUAACUAUCUAGAUGUUUUUGCAACUCAAUCAUAGAUGGUGGAAUCAUCAAAGAUUUAACCCUUUCAAACUCUGCCUGUAACUCACUAGAGGCUCGAGAAAUAAAGAGAAGAUGUGUACGAACGAGAUAUGCAGUAACAAGAAGAAGGAAAAGAAUUGAAUAGAUGAACUCCCAAGCAUUUGGCGAUCUCAAAUGUGUCGAUAUCAAUGGUGACUCAUUAUUUUGAUGAAUCAUUUCUUCGAACAGAAGAAGAUUAUGUAAACACUUACUCGAGAUCUCACUUAUCAGAUUCCAGUGUGGAAGACAUAAUUUUUUCUGAAAAAUUCACCAUGAUAUACCUGAUCCAUGCAUAAUAUCAGGAAAAGUGGAUACAAAUUUUUUACCGCUACUUAGUAUUGGCAAUAGGUCUAAAAAAGUGUCUAAAAAUAUAAAGUUUAGAUAUUUAUACCCUGUCAAAGUAUGGAACCAUGGCAUAUAUGUUUGGAAUAGAUUCCAUUUUGAGUAGAAUAGAUUCUAUUUUUAGAGAGUUGAAAAAGCACUCUCUCGUUGAAAGGUUCUAUACAUCUGCCCUUUCUUAACGCAUUUCUUUAGACAAAGACUCCAUUUUUCCUCUUUUCAGAUGAUAAAUCUUUCUCAGAACAUGGAGUGUGAAUCAAACCCAUGUUUGAAUUGAAAUUGAGAUACUGAUGCAAGUUCUUCCCUUCUGAAUCAAAUAGAUUCAUAUCUUAAAGAGGUUGCCAAUAAGUUCUUUCAAAAUUGACUAUUUGCCCCUCUGUUAGAGGUGUUUCAGAAAUGUCUGUGAUCGAGUAAAUAUAUCUACAAACAAAUGGAUUGGAUUGACUUGGAAAAUGGAAAGAUUUGUACAAGUUAUACAUUUUGUCACCACUUUGUGGAAAAUCGUUAGGUAUAAAUAUGUUAGAUACCUGUGACUCGAUUGGUGAAAUAUUAUCUCUCCCUCAAAAAGCAUGUUAUUUUACUAGUGCACAAAGAAAAUAUUUUAUUGUGAAUGAACAAGAUUUAGAGGAAUUGUCCAUACGUUAAAAAAGAAUUAUUGACACGGGCCUUUUCCACAGAAAAGGGGAAUCUUCUGUUCCAAUAGAAGCAGAAGUGUUUGAUAUUAUUCAAGAAUCGAUUGCUUUAUAAAAAGAAGAUAUCUACAAACUUCUAUGAAAUGGUUUCACAGGAUUUAGCCAAUUGUCUUGAUUGUGGAAUAUCAUUGUGAAAUAGGAAUCCAGGUUAUCAAAGGAUUUCCUGGGAUUAUUUCUAAUAUGGAAUGAGUCAAUCAUCCACUUUGGUAUUUUAUUGAACAAAAAUGGUUAUAUUGUUCCUCCAUUGAUAUAUCAAGAAUGAUAAUAUUUGACCAUUCUUUUAUUAGCAUGUAUUCAGAUUUUUAAGCAAGAUUUGAUCUUUUGAUCCUCAACAAAGAUAUGAAAUCCACACAAAUUAGUUUUGAUUAUAGUUUAAAAUAGAUUAAUGCAUAAUUGGUUUUCAUUAUAAACUCUUAUGCUACUUUAAGGUAGAUUUCCUACAAAAUGAGCAUAUAAGUAAGGGAGUAGUAUUUAGCACCGAGUUGGGUAUGCGUCUCAAUUCACAUGCCCUAGAACUAUGAGCCAACAUAGGUUCAGAUUAUUAGAUUAUUCCCAUUUAUAUGGAUGUAGAUAUAGGUUGUGAUCACUUAGCUUAGGUUAUACUCCUUAGCAAGAGUAUGAAACCUCUCUCCAAACGUGAGGUAUUUUCCUUAGGGGAACAUGACGUUGGACAUCAUGAUAUCUCACAUUGUGUAUGUCGGUUAGAAGAACCUCCCUAAUAGAAAAGCAUUUAGAAACUAAGUGUAAAGGAUCAUGAUUUUACUUAGAUAUUGUUUUACAUAAGUCAUUAGCAAUGAGAUUUCAGCUUUUAGUUUACAGAUACAAAGGUGAGUCCUUUUACACUUAGCCUGCAUGAUUUGAAAAUAGACUUAACUUCAAUUCUACUUAUUCCACUAGUAGAAAGAGUAAAAUUAAAGCUUUUAAAACAAAGUGUUAUGACACACAAGAUUUAUGCAGUAUGCUUUAUUAUUCAUGAUUUAUGAUUUUCAGCUUUCAGUUAUUCAAGCCAAUGUCAGUCAUUAUGACAUAACAUACAUUCUUUACAAGCUAUAUGAACAAUUGAGUUACUAUUUUACUUAUUCAUUCAACCCCACAUUCUUAGUACAAUACAAAAGUACUAAUCCACAUAUACAUCUAUGUGCUAAAUUGUUUAAUAAUGUAGGUACCAGUUCAGUUGUAGCCCAUAUAUCACAAUCAGACAGUAGCAGAUUCAAAUUAGUAGGUGAUGAGUCUUCCUACUUCUGGGACUUUAGUUAGAUGUUAUUUAUGUACUUUACUUUAUUGCUCAUAUGUAUUGAUUAGUGGUAGUUGGAGUCGUGUUCCAGCUAUUUAUAGUCAUUAUAGUAGAGGCUUCAUAAAUGUCAGUUAGAGCCAGUCAUGUAAUUUCAGUUCCUCUUUUUAGUUUUAUCAAAAUGUAAAAUUAUAUCAGUAUUAUAUUUUUCCCACAUUUCAUCAUGACUAUGUUUCCGCAUAGUAAAAUUAGUUAUUUUAUACAUAUCUAAAUCAGUUGCUUACCAAUAUAUCAGUUCAUGGGUUAGCUUGGGAUCACAUGUGGUCCUAAGCAACGUGUGACAUCCAAGAGGUAGUCUCGAGGCGUUACAAAAUCCAUAUCUUGUACCUACGUACGGUAGGCCUCCUCAACCUAUCCACUCUCAUGUUUGGCCCUCUUAUCAGCCAUUUUUACUUCUUUCCUCUUUUUUUUUUCUCAUGUCUCUUCUCUCUGGUCUCAUCAAUCUAUUAUCCAAUUAGGUAUACCCAAAUAUUAGGAACCUCAACUGUAGAAAUCAUAUUCUUGACUACUGGCUCUGUAACCACUGGCCUCUCAUACAUUUCUGCUACUAGCUUCUUUGUUUCAGCUUUCUUGGCCCUGACAUCAUCAACAUUGGGUGUUUUUCCUCUACCCAACUGACAAGUAAUCCUCAACUCAAAGACAUCUUGUAACGCUUGGACUUGCCUAUCCUAUACCUCAAACUGCCUGUCCAUCCAAUUUCUUACUCUACUUUUCAUGUGACCAACCUUCGCAGUAAGUAUAGCUAAUUGGGUUGCAACUUCAGUCCAAGUAGCCUGAUAAAUCAACAUAACACCGGGAGGAAUACCCCAUGGACUAGGUGGCAUAAACUGGACUGGUGGUGGGGCACUAAAUUACCCGCUGCAUCUUUGGGUGUGGCCUCAGUCUAUGUACCUGCCUCGGUAAUAUCAGUUGUAACAAGGGUGUCUGUCGGAUCAUCUUAUGGGAAUAGUCCCGCCAUCACAUUUAUUGCCUCUCUUAUAGUUUUGGACAAAUGAUUUGUUGCAUCUCGAAUGAGCCCAAUAUCAAAAGUACUCUGGGCCUCAAUCAUUUUUUCUAUUCCAGGUAGCUCCAUUACUCCCACAGCUAGAAAAAUUUGAGUAAGCAUGCAGGGGUAGGCCAGUAAUUCCUUCUGCCUCCCAACUGCCCUAUCUUUCAGCACUUGAGCAAGGAACUCACCAAUAUAAAACUUGUAGCUGACUAUAAAAUUAGCUAUCAUAGCAGACCUGACCAGGGUUAGAAUAAUAUCUCUUAUUGUCGGACAUAGCCUAUGUUGGGCUAGUGUCCACAAAGCUUUACCCUUAAAAUUUAGGGUACCCUACUUAAUCUAUUGUAACUCUCCUACAAUAUAAGUUACAUGAUCACCAUGUAUAGCUAUUCUCUUAGCGAUCCACCUAAAUAUUUCUAUUUUAUCAUCGUUACCCAGCGUUUGCUUAGUAAUUUUUCUUAUCUCAUUCAUUCUGUAGUCUAUCUCUCCUAUGUUGGCCAGAUCCUGACACUCUGGCCCAUACAAGAAUCUCCCAAUGGUUCGAAGAGAGAUGUCAACUUACACACCUCAAAUUAUCAACAAUGUAAUUGGCCCACCACCCUUCCAUAAUUGGCCCUAUGGGUAUAGCCUAUGUAGCUCACCCCUGUAAGAUAUGUAGAACUCAUGAACUAACACUUCACUAUAUCUUUUGGGUGCUAUCAUCAACAACCCAAAUCCGUAUUGCCUGAAGCACUCUUCAAACUAGGAUAAUUCAACCAUCCCCAUAGUAGUCAUUCUCCUCUCCAAAUAAAACAUUCUCUUUAUCUUACCACCCUGUAGAUAAAACAACCCUGAGUUGAAUGUCUCCUGCAUAUUAGGGUAACCCCAUCAUUCAACAAUGGGAACCAUAGUAGUGGUCAGUGCGAGUGAGGGUCUUAUCUUUCUAUGGGUGUAACAUCAACCUCCUCGAGACCCUAAGCUUUAUCAGAAGAAGCCUCUGCUAAGCUAGAUUCUAUUUCAUCAUCGUCAUCAUAGUCAUCAGUCGGCUGUGGUGUAUGAGGAGGAUAAACAGUCACAUUAUUUAUUCUCGGCCCCGUGGUACUGUCUCAGACUCUUAGGGAACUACUUUCUUCCCUUUUUCUUUGGCAGCUACCUAUCCCUUCUGAGCAGCUUACUUUGAUUAGGUUUUAUUAUACUCUUCCCCACUACUUUUAGAUAGGGUUUAAGACUCUAAAACACUGGUUUUCUCACUUUCAACUUGUUGUGGCUUAGUCACUUUCUUGGCAACUUGUUUAGAAUAUGAAGCAUUCUUUGCAGAUAUUUGUACCUGUAAAUACACUAAUAUUAGUACUUAAGAAAAGAAAAGAAAUCAAAAAUAGAAAAACUAAAGUUCAAUAUGGUUGGUUUGAGUUGGGUAUGAGUGGUGGGUACUGGUCGUACCCACUAGGUAUGAUUCAUAUGUCCGAGUUGUAUCCUAGAUAGUACUGGACCUCUAUUCAUAGGUUAGCUUACGACUCCUCCUUACCAGUCGUACUGAAUGGGUACGACUUAUGACCAACAGUCAUAAGUAAGUUAGAAAGAUUUAUUCUAUUUUAGUUCUUCCCAGGUGGGUACGAUUAGUGUGUACGAGUUGUAAGGUUAGGAUACUAUUCAUAUGGUCGAUUUGUAUCCAUUCUAGAACUUUGAAUUUGUUAGAAUUCCAUGUUGUUAGCGGGUAGGAGUCUCAUUAUGACUCCCGUAUUGGUGGGUACGAGUCAUAAAAAUUCCCAUAUCCACUGCAAUAUAGAAGUCCAAUCUUUAAAGUUUGACUAUGAUGUAAAUUCCUAAAGUACCCACUGCUACAUUCAGCUAUUUCCAUCAAUUUAACCUACACGAACAUAUCAAAAAUUAUUUCUAAACCUAGUUCUCCCCCUAUUUUCAAUUUUCCCCAACAAUACCUAAUCUAGGGUACCAACAAAUCAAUACUUGUUGAAAUUUUCUUUAAACUAAUUUCAUAGCAUCACAUAAUACUCAUUUCGACUUUCAAAGUAGCAAAAAUAAGGGUUAUGAGCUUACUUGAUAAGUGAAGAAAUGAGUACUUGAUUUCAAAUCUUUGUGCACCCUAAAUUUGAAUUUAAAUCAUGAAAUAUGAAAGAAUUGAGGUUGUUAGUACUUUAAUCGAGUUGAAAGCAAGUUGAUUUUUUAGUUUGAAGUUUUAAAUUUGGGGUAAAAAUUGCUUUGGAUACGAGGAGUUGAUGUAUCGGAUGCCCAAUGGGGUUUAUUUUUCCUCUUUUAAUUGUUGGUUUGGGUCAGGUCAACCCAAGAAUUUACCUAGUAAACUUGGGUACGAGUGCUGUAUACGACUAGUACAAAGGCUUACAGAUCGUUUCUUUGACUCGUAUAGCCCUGGAACUUACCUGUGUUCUAAAGUGGAUAUGACUCUUAGUCAUGAACUGUACCCAUGGGGUACGACUCAUAUUGAUAGUCAUAUUCAUUCUAGAAACUAAUGCCCAAUUCUUAUUUUUCUCCCAGGUCAAUACAACUCCUACUCACUAGUCGUAUCGUAUAGAUACAACUUGUAAAGAGUCUGUAUGUUAUAUUUUUCAAUUUCUCUAGACUUUGUCUGCAUUCUUUCAUCCUGCACAUUGAGAAAACACAUUACCCUAUACUAAAUAUGUACAAAACAUGGGUUGCCUCCCAAGAAGCAUUUGAUUUAACAUCGCGGCACAAUGUGGCCAAGUUGGAUACUUAUAUUUCAUCAACUAGCCUCAUGGGUUACCUCCCAUGUAGCACUUGAUUUAAUGUCGCAGCAUGAUGCAAUUGACUUGAUUACUCAGACUCCAUCAAGGUCAAUAUCAGCUACUUCCUUCAGGUCUUCUAUAUUUCCUAUAUAGGGCUUUACUCUUUGUCCGUUACCUUGAAUGAGCAUGUACCAUCCCUCUUUAGUUCUAAAGAACCAUAGGGAUAAACUUUUGAAACUGUAAAUAGACCAUGCCACCUAGACUUUAACUUACCUGGAAACAAAUGAAGCUUGGAAUUAUAUAGUAGUACUUGGUCGCCUUCUUUAAAUAACCUCUUCUCAAUCUUGCAGUCAUGAUGCACCUUCAUUUUUUCCUUGGAACGCGCUGAACUGUCAUAUGCCCAGGCCAAAAUUCAUCCACUCAUUUAUCCUAUUCAACCUAGACUUAGUUUCAUCCUUCCACUCUAAGUUCAGCUUCUUCAACGCCCAUAGUUCUUUAUUCUCAAACACGAUUGGUAAAUGUCAAGCUUUACCAUACACAAGUUGAUAAGUUGAAGCACCAAUGGGAAUUUUUUAAGUUGUAAGGUAAGCCCAUGAUGCAUCAUCUAACUUUCCUGCCCUAGCUGUCUUAUAGGUAUUCACAGUCUUCACCAAUAUGGACUUGAUUUCUCUAUUGGACACUUCUACUUAUCCACUAGUCUAUGGAUGAUAAGGCGUUUCCACCUUGUGAUUCACUCCAUAUUUUUCAAGAAGACUCUUGAAUUGAUGAUUGCAAAAAUAUGGCUCGAUCAUAAUAAUAGCCCAUGGCAUAACAAAUCGAGAAAAGAUGUUCUUUCUCAAAAAUGUGGUGACACUCUUUGUUUUAUUGUUAGGAAGUGCAAUUGGUUACACCCACUUUGAAACCUAGUCAACAACAACAAGUAUGUACUUUAUGCCAUACAAACUCAUGAAAGGUCCCAUGAAAUCUAUGCCCCAUACAUCAAACACUUCCAACUCUAAGAUAGGGGUCAUAGGUAGUUCAUAUCUUCUAGUAAUAGUACCUUAUCACCGACAUUGAUCACAAGCAGGGGCAUAGUCAUAAGCAUCUUUGUAUUGGCGAUUAAUGAAAGGCUUCAAGUAUUCUCAUCAUCUCAACUUUAGAUAUGCAUCUGUGAAUGAUUCCAUCUGCUCAAAUCUUAAAUAAGUAAGGUUCAUCCUAGAAAAUUUUCUUACCUCAUGCAUGAACUUCUUCUUUUACUGAUAUGAAAUAUCUUUUGGAACUAGAUCACUUACUAAGUAAUUUGCAAAAUCCUUAAACCAUGGAAUUAGAUCUUGGAAAGUGGCCAAUAUCUUCUAGUCUGGAAAACUAUCAUCAAUCUCUAACCCAGUAGCAACCUUCUGCAUAGCUUCCUCCUCUAGUAUAGACAAGUGAUCUGCAACUUGAUUCUCUGUGCCUUUUCUAUCCUUAACGUCAUAGUUAAAUUCUUGCAACAACAACACCCAUCUAAUUAGUCUCAGCUAAGUAUCUAUUUUAGCCAUUAAGUACCAUAAUGUUGCAUGAUCUAUAUGAAUAAUCACCUUUGUCCCAAUCAAAUAAGAUUUAAACUUUUCAAAGGCAAAAACCACUAGCAAAAACUCUUGCUCCAUCAUGUUAUAGUUCAUUUGAGAAGGAUUUAGUUGUCUUACUAGCAUAGUAGUGGGAUGAAAGAUCUUCUCUUUCUGUUGGCCUAGUAUAGCCCCUAAGUCCAAUACACUAGCAUCACACAUAAUCUCAAUAUGUAAGGACCAAUCAGGAGACAUAAUGAUUGGAGUAGUGACAAACUUCUCUUUCAAGCAUUCAAAUGCCUUCUUACAUGCAUCAUCAAAAUUAAACUUUACCUACUUCUCAAGAAUCUUUCAACGAGGUACAAUAAUCUUCGAGAAGUCCUUGAUAAAUCUCCUAUAGAAACUUAAAUGUCGUAUAAAACUUUGAAUUCCCUUCACAUAAAUUGGAUAAAGUAAUAUUUGAAUCACCUCAAUGUUUGCUCGAUCAACCUCUAUGCCUCUCUUUGAAAUCUUAUGCCCAAGCACAAUUCCUUCUUUAACCAUGAAAUGGCACUUUUCCCAAUUAAGUACCAAGUUGUAUUCUUCACAUCUUUGAAAAGUGUUUGCCAAGGAAAUAAGACAGUCAUCAAAAGAAUCACCAAUAACUGAAUAAUCAUCCAUAAAAAUUUCAAUGGUGUCUUCGACCAUAUCGGAGAAAAUAGACUUCAUACAUAUCUGAAAUAUAGAUGGGGCAUUGCAUAUCCCGAAUGGCAUUUGUUUGAAUGCAAAGGUUCCUUAAGUCAUCUUUUCUUGGUCUUCCGAUGCAAUUGUGAUUUGAUUGUAACCGGAGUACCCAUCAAGAAAAUAGUACCAUCCUCUUCCCAUCAACCUGUCUAAUAUCUGAUCCAUGAAUGGCAUUAGAAAGUUAUCCUUCUGAGUCCAUGCAUUCAAUUCUUUAUAAUCCAUGCAUACUCUCCAUCUAGUGAACGGUCUCAUAGGCACUAGCUUAUUUUUUUCAUUAGGUACAAUAGUUAUUCUACCAUUCUUUGGGAUGCAUUAAAUCAUACUGACCCACUUACUAUCAGCAAUGGGAUAUACCACACCAAUAUCCAACCACUUGAUGAUCUCUUUCUUUACCACCUCCUAUAUAGGAGGAUUGAGUCAAUGUUAAUGUUCAAUAGAUGGAACACAUUCCAAUUUAAGUUGUAUUUUAUGAGUACAUAAGCCAGGCGGAAUAUUCAUAAUAUCUGUAAUAGACCAUCCAAUGUCCCUCUUGAAAUUUUGCAAAACUAACAAUAAUGCUUCUACUUCUGACUGUCUUAGAGCAGCUGCAAUAAUAACUAUCAACGUAUUAUUAUACCCCAAAAAUGCAUAUCGCAAAUAAUAUGGGAGGGCCUUCAACUUUAACACCAGUAAUUCCUCAAUGGAUGGGUAAGCAGGUGAAGUACUUCUAUUCAUCAAGUCUAGACCAAGCUUCUUUAGUGCAAAUUUAUAACCAUUCCCAUACAAUGCACCAACUAACUCCUCAUAUUCCUUGAUACCAUCAGAGUCAAAAUUCAUGAUCAUAACUACUAGUUCUUCAACACCUAAUCUCUCUUUAAUAGGAACAACCGCAUCAGAACUAUCAUCCCACAAGGUCACUGCAUCAACAUCAUGGAAUGAAUCUACCACAUUAUCAUACACAUCAAUAAAAAAUAUCACUCUCAACUCAUCAGGCUGCCGCAUGGAUUUACAUGUAUUGAAUGUCACUUGUUCAUUAUUAAGUCUCAAUAUCAGAUGUCCUUUCUCCAGAUCUAUCAAUGUCCUACCUGUAGUUAAAAAUGGUCUUCCCAAGAUAAGUAGGACCAGAAAGUCCACUUCCUAAUCUAAUAUAACAAAAUUAAUAGGAAAUAUAAAAGAAGACACUUUUACCAAAAUAUCAUAAAGGAUAACACAGGUUUCUUUACUGUUCUGUCAGUCAUCACUAGUCUUAUGGUAGCUGGUUUAGGAUAUGCCAACCCCAACUUCUUAAAUACAAAAAAGGGCAUGAGGUUGAUGCUAGCGCCCAAGUCACAUAAUGCUCGAGUAAAGUUUACCGACCUAAUAUUUCAAGGUAUUAUGAAAGAGUUAGGAUCCUUCUUAUUCUUUACCAAAGAUCUAGUAAUUACAGGACUACAAUAAUGAACAUUACCAAUUGGCUUAUAGCUGACUGACCUCUUCUUGGUGAUCAAAUACUUCAUGAAUUUUACGUAUCCAGGCAUCUGCUCUAAUGCCUCCACCAAUGGUAUGUUGAUUGACAACUCUUUUAGCAUAGACAAGAACUUCUAAUACUUACCUUCUUCUUGUUUCUUUCUCAAUUUUUGUGGAUAAGGAGAGAGAGGUCUUAGAAUAGGCUUUAAUAUAGACUCUGUAACCUUCUCGUCUCCUUCAUUCUACUUGUUAGUGGUCCCUUCCUUAAUUGACUCAUCAUUAUUUUUCUAUUAUCUACAAUAGGUGCAGGUGGAUCUACACUGACCUUACCACUCCAAGUGGAAAUGGUAUGACAUUGACUAUUAUUUUUGUGGUUUGCUACUAUAUUACUUGAAAGAGUGCCAGGUUGUCUCUUAUUCACUGUGGCUAACAUCUGACCAAAUUACUGCUAAAAUUGCUUGAUUUUUGUGGCAUGUGACACAACUUUCUGGUCCAAUACUGAUAGAUCAGCAUUAAUAUCCUUCAUACAGUUCUCUUAAAUUUCUUGUCCUUUGACUAUCUUAGACAAAAGUGCCUCCAUUCUGGACUCUAUAUCACGACUACCUGGUGGAAUAUAUUUGUCACUCUUCUCCUUAUAGACAUUUUUGUGCCUCCAAUCACCAUCUCUAUCUAUGCUUCUAUCUUUAUAUCUAUCAUUGUAAUAGUUUCAAUCUUGAUUUACUUGUUCUUGAACUCAGAAAUCUGCCAAUCUAUGAUCAAGAAAAUUUUUCUCUUCUUCAGAUUUAAUUUCAAAUGGUUUGGAUAUAGAACCAUGUGCUGCAACUACCUUUACUUUCUUAAUAUUUAUUAAAGCAAACUAUUUUUUCAGUAAACCAAUAUCUAUAUGAAGUUUUGCAACCUCAUGUGCUACUAUAUCAUUAGUUGUUCCAUAUGUAUUAGUUACACUGAUAGAAUAUGUACCACCACCUUAUUAUGAAUCUCUCGUAUACCAUUCUCUAUUAGUUAACACGAUGUCAUCCAGCAUCACAUGUGUGGCAUCCAACGAAGGUGCAUAAAUGAUUGUCCCAAAAUUGUAUCAAUCAUAUCUCUUGAACAAUCAUUCAGUGAGCUAUAGAACAUUUCUGACAAGUUAGAUCCUCUGAUUCUGUGAUUUGGUACCAAGAUCAGCUUCUUCUUGAAUCAAAAUUAUGCCUCAUACAUAGAUUCUGUAGGUAGUUGUCUAAAAUUAUAAAUCUCAUCCUUCAAAUGUAGCAUCCAUGCAGGAGGAAAGAAUCUACUCAAAAACUGCUUCUUUAACUCAUUCCACGUAGUGAUAGAUCCUCCUAAAAUUUCCCCUAACCAUAGAGAUGCUUCUCCAGUCAAAUAAAAUAGGAACAACCUCAAUCUCAAUGCUUCCUGAUCAACCCUUGGAAUGUUAUACCUUGUGUAGAUCCCCAAAAAAAAUUAUUAAGGUGCAUGUUUGCGUCGUCCUUAGAUGAUCCCUCAAAUACACCUUUUAGAUUUAGCAACUGGAUCAUAGCACUAGUAAUAUCAAACUUCACAUUUGGGGAUAGUAGAGUUACUAAAGCUUCUGAUUCUAUAGGCUCAACAUAACCCAGAUCUUCAUCAUCUUUCUUUUUAUUUGGGUCUAAGUGUUGAUAUUCCUGAAUAAAUGGAGCUCUACCUCUCUGAACUCAUCGUCUAUAAACUUGUCUAGGCCCAACUAGUCCACUUUUUUGAAUUAUUCCUCCAUCUACGGCAAGUCUAGCCUUUUAAGCUUCUCUAUGUUCUUACUCCAAUAGUUGUUGUGUCUAUAAAUCUGCAAUAUUUUGUAGAUCUAAUAGAACAUGCAGGAGUUCCAUAUUUGGGUCCACAGGUGAGGGAUCUUGAGCCCCGUCACGAAUGUGUCCUGACAUCCUUCUCAGCGUUUGAAGGAUUCUCUCUGGUUCUGAAUCAAAAGGGAGUAAGGGAUUGCCUUUACUCUUAGUACUUAGCAUAUAUCAGCGUAUGUAAAAUCCAAAUAGAAAAUAAAAAACCGCAAACUUCACUAAUUCCAUUCUCCCCGGCAACAGCACAAAAAAUUAAUGUCUCCUAAAACUACACCUCAACUAGAAGUAUAAUAAGGUUGAUUGCAAAUAUAGUACCCCAACUAGGUUAGGGUCAAUCCCACAAGGAAGACAUGAACAAUUGCUUAUCUUUAUGUAAUCCAUGAGCAAUACAGGAAAGUAAAUAGGGGGAUUUUGUUGUAAAUCAAAAAUAGUAACCAAAUCUUGAGUGAUUUUGAGUUGUAAUCACUAUGAGAUGAAUGCUAGGUUUGUGUUCCCACUGGCUUCUCAAGUCUAGAAAUUUCUUAUGAUCAACCCAAUUGUUUUGUUGUUCUCUAUUUAAAGCCUACUAGAUAGAUCUUAUCAACUGUCGGUAAGCUCAAAGAUAAAUUUUACCUUUUAGCAGGUAAGUCUUAGGGUGUUGCAUUAUCGCCUCUUGCUCUAGCCUUAGUUACAGUUAUUGGGGUAGGAUUAAGUGAUACAACAUGAAGCAGUGAUUAAAAGGUGGAGGUAGAAAUCCCAAAUCACUGUCUUAAUCUUUUUUUCCUAAUCCCAAGCUUCUUAGUUAUCGAAAGGAUACGAAUACAAGCUUUCUCAAGGUACUGCAGCUACUUGAGAUUGAUUAUUAUGAAGAAUAAUUAAGAUACAUGCAAAAACCCUAGAAUAAUUAAGUCUUACACUUUCUCUACAUAGCUAAUCUGUCAGGGUUCCCACAACCCUAGAUAAGGAUAUUAGCCACUCAUGUUUGUGCAAAAACCAUGAUUAUCAAUGAAAACACAUAAAACCAAUUGCACAAGAAUAAGAUGAAUAAACUCCUAAGUCUUUAAUUGAAUAAAACCCAAAAAUCUCAAGAACAAUUGUAAAAGAAUGUAAUAGUGUGUAAUAAUGUGUUAAAAAAUUUUAAUAAUGCCUACUAAUAGAAGAUAAACCCUAGGGUAUUUAUAGUAUCUCAAACUAAAAUUAAAAUCCUAAUAAAAAUGGGAAAGGUAAAGUAAUGUCUGCAGUCGGUACAACUCGAUCUUCACUCGUAUUGACUCAAUACGAGUCGUACCCUGCCCUCUCGUAUCUAUUCCAGUAUCUGAUUUUCUGAGGCUUCAACUUUCUAUUCAUCAUAUGACAUCUUCAUACGAGUCGUAUCUGAGUUUACAACUCGUACCCUUCACUCGUAUCUACCUAGGACUUUGUUUUUUCCAAGUCUUGAACACUGGUUUGUAUAUGACAUCACUAUAUGAGUCAUACUUAGACUUCCGACUAGCAUACUUUUGACACUUCAAAUCCUGAAUGGUAGCUUAAACUCUGUUAUUCUUAUGACUUCAGUAUACGACUCGUAUCCUAGCCUACGACUGGGAUACUUGAGUCAUAUCUUCCUCACACUUAUUUCCACAGGUUGGCUUUUCGUUCUGUCACUUAUACGAUUCAGCAUAUAAGUCAUAUCGAAAGCUUACGACUCAGGAUCUAACUCAUAUACUGAUCAGAGUUGUUAUUUUUUAGGUCUUUUUCUUCUGUUUUUGUUCAACUACUGCUAUAGAACUCUUUUACUAGCAUUUCACACCAAAGUGCAUCAUAUCCAACAAAAUAUCCUAAGAUCACAUAUAAGUUUGUAGUUUCAAGAAUUGAAAGUGUCAUGUUUCCAUGCCACAUCAUGACCUUAUCUUAUGGCACAUCAAGAAACAAACUUUUAUUGCUAUUUUAACCACUGAAAUUGAAUACAUAGCUGUCAAAAGUUGUGGUAGUCAAAUAUUAUGGAUUGUGCAUCAACUUCUUGAAUUUUGACUUAUCUUUUGAAUUUGUUCCUAUUAUGUCUGAUAACAUUGAUGUUAUUAUCUUAUAUAAGCAUACUAUGCAUUACUCUAGGGAUAAACAUAUCGAUAUCAAGCAUUAUUUCAUUCGAGAUCAUGUAAAAAAUGGUGACUUUUCCCUUUAAUUUGUAAACUUUGAAAAUCAACUAGCAGACAUUUUUGUAAAACUCCUGCUUGAAUAAAGAUUUUUCUCCAUCCGAAAGAGGCUUAGAAUUCUUAGAAUUCAUGAUCUUUAAACCUUUUUUCUAUGAAUUACCGCAUUUUCAUUAUUACAUCAUUUGUGUAUUUGUUUGUAUGUACAUUGCUUGCAUACUAUUUCUUUUUAAUUAUGUCAAAGGGGGAGAAAGAGUCAGAGUAGCCUACUAGUCACGGAGAUAAGAUCAAGUCAACUGAUGUUUACAUGUCAGCUAAUACUUGCAUAAGUCAGAGGGAGGAAACUAACAAAAAGAGAAGUAAACUAAUGUUUAUUCUUGUUAUCAUUAUCAAAAAGGGGGAGAUUAAUAGCCUCCUAAGUCUAUGUUUUAAUAAUUACAAACUAACAAGUGUAUCUAUGCAGAACAUUGAAGACUGCUAAUAUUGAAAGGAAAAAGGAUGUUGACUUUUGUUGUGCAAGGACAUGUUGAAUGGAGAAACAACCAUGGAAUCCAAGUAAAUCAAUCACAAAUCACAAAAAAUCAUAUCAAGAUAUUAAGGAUAAAAGAGUAUCUCACCUAAAGAUAGGAAGGAUCAGGUCAUUUAAACAAGUAUGGCAAGAAAAUCAAUCAGAAAUCACAGAAAUAGAAGAAGGAUCACAAUACCAGAAUCACGAUAAAUCAAAUUAAUCAAGACAUAUAACAGAAGUCUCUGGCUAAAAAGUUUCGACAAAUCAAAUCAAGUAAAGAAGAGAAAAUCAUGAACACAUAUGGAAAGGGAUCAAUCUUUACAAGACCAAAAGGAAAAAGAGAUCAUGAACAUAUCUGAUAUGGACGUGAUCCAAAGUCAUAUAUGGACAUAUCACACGACAGCAUUCCUCAAUCAAAGAAUUAUUUUACAUCCUAGACUGAGAAGAAAUCUUUUGGAUUUAUUUAUAAAAAGGUAGUAAACGAAGACUAUAAAAGUUAAAUAUUAAAGACAGGCACUUUAUAUGAAACUUCAAGGAGAAAACUCAAGUGUCUUAUUCUUAGUCUUACAAGGCUUUGUAACUUUUAGUUUACAAUUGUUAUAUAAAAAGUAUGAUCAAGUCAACUUUGUAACAUCAACUGAAGUUGUAUCACAAGAACUGAAGAGCAAAAUAACUCUUCAUAACUAGUUUUCUGUCAUUGUACUUGAGCCUAACUUUCAACGAUCUAAGGAAAGUUUGAAAUCCAAGGGUACCGGAAGUAGGCACCACAUUGAUGUUAUGAAUCAGGAUAAAUUGUUGUGCUAUUACUUUAUGUUCUGUUAUUAUGUGCUUAACUAUUUUAAAUCUAAUUUGAUUGUAAACUGCACUCAUCUGCAGGCGAUUCGAUUGUAAGGAGUCAGUAGUCGACUCAAAAAAAAUUCAAUUCACCUCCCCCCCCCCCUCAAAUUUCAAUAACAUAUAUCCUUCAGUUCGUGAAAAGUCAUAAGAGAAAAAGAAAUGGGAAUGUACCACUACAGGUUAUGGAUUGUACCUCUCCCCCUUCCUCGGGCAGUUUUAGACAUGGUGGAACGAGAUAGAUUUAUUGGAUUAUGCUGAGAUAUAUAAGUAUUUGGGUUUUUUACUAGCAUCAUGACAGUCAUCCCUAGCAGGGAAAUGGUUGAUGCACAGUUAAAUUUUUGGGAUCCGAUUAACAAUGUCUUUUAUUUCUUAAAUUGUGAGUUGACUUCGACUUUAGAAGAGAUAGUGGCUUAUAUUUGAUUUAAGGAUAUGCAUCGGAAAAAAUUUAUAGCCCCAAGACUCAUUUGGAUAAACAGAUUUUGUAAGCUCAUGAACAUACGGAACUCAAAAGAAGAAUCAAUGGAAAAAGGUUGGGUCUCCUUAUAGUUUAUGUAUGAAAUAUAUGAAAGGAAAGAGGGGUUUGAGAAUUUUGAUAAACAAUUUUGUAACAAGGGAAGUUUUGAAGUCUGGAAAGUGCAUAGAUGAUUUGCUUUCAUGGUAUCCUUUUUAGGAACUAUGGUCUUCUCUAGGAGGGAGAAAAAAAUAAUAUUCACUUAGUUGGGAUGGUACAUGUAUUGAUCAAGAAAAAGGAUUACACUAUGGUACCAAUAAUCUUGGAUGACAUAUACCAUGCUCUGACUGUUUGUCAGAAAGGGAAGGGCUUCUUCGAAGGAUGUAACAUCUUGCUACAGAUAUGGAUCGUUAAGCAUCUUUAUUAGCAUCUUAAGGUGGAAAGAUUUAUUCUUGAACGAGUCAAUCACAUCAAAAAUUAUGAAAAAAGGAUGGAUAAAUAUAGGUGUCUAGAAGGAGUUAGUGAUUGGGAUAAGUUUUUUCUCUCACUGACGGUAGAUAAGAUCACAUGGAACCUCUCUUGGUUCCCUAGGAAGAUCAUACAUAGUUCCAUGGUUUGUCACUUUUUGUUAUUGAUGGGUAUUAGAGGUUUUCAACCAUAUGCGUCAUUUUGGGUUCGACGUCAUCUAGGUAGACGUCAAAUAAUUCCCAUAACAGAAAAUAUGAAAGAGCUUAUGUUUGAAGUCAAACCAGAGAUUCCCUUUCCAGAGGGAUUGGCACAACAGAUUUGGGAUGGUUAUCAUUUUAUGGGAAUUAAAACAAUGGUCAUAAAAUAUGAGAAAGGAGAAGUACACCCAGGCUACUAUGAAUGGUUUGAGAAACAACCACCUCACCAGUCAGACCAGAAAGAUCGAUUAAGGGACUCACAGAUCAAGAUACUGUGAUAAGGAUAGGGAUUGAGAUGGCCACUGAGAACAUCAUGAUGUCAAUCAAGCUUUGAGAGCAAAAUUGGAGCAUGCUAAGGCAGUCUUGACUCAAUAACAAAUAGAUAAGGGUGUAGAAAAUGAGGUAAGAAUUAAGAAAGCAUGAUUGGAGGUAGAGAGAGAUUAUCAGCCAACUAUUCAUGUGCUAAACGCUGAUUUAGAAUGAGCUAAGGAAAGAAUAGAAGAAUAACAAAGGGAAUUUGUUGAAGAAAAAGCUAAGUUGGUAGACAUUGAGAUUGAACUUCGAUGACAAAUCAAGUUGUCCAAAACUAGGGGUCAUAUGUUGUAGAACUUGCCUAAUUUUGCUACCAAUAGCUGCAAGAAUUUGAAAAAAAGAUGCAAGAAGAAUUUGAUCAAGAGAGAUCUCAGUGGAUACGUGAAAGAGGUAUGCUAUGAGAAUAGUUGGAGGUUGCUUUCUCUUGAGAACAAUGUGAAAAUAAAAUGAUUGACUACCUUGAUCGAAAAGCCCAAGGAUGGGAUCAAGCCUUUAUUUCCCUUUGAGGAGGGUCCGCUGCGUGGCACAGGACACCGCUAGAAUGAGUUUGAAUAAGGUCAAGUACCAAUUUUUUCCCAGCAUCUCACCACUUCAUUGGAUGACAUAUACUUGGGUUUAGGAGGCCAUAUAAAGUUGAAAUAUCCUUGAUUAAGCAUGUUGAAGUUAUGAGAAUCAGUUGAAGACCUUGAGACAGUGGAGUUUAGUUGUAUGGUUUGAUAGUUAUUUUCUUUUGUCGCAGUUUUUUAGUUCCUGUUUUAGAACUUCUUGUUUAGAUUUUAUGUAUUUUGGUUAAUCUUAUUUGUUUAAGUUUAGUUUUGUUUGUCAGAUUUCAGUUGGUAGGUUUUCUUUUAGGGGUUGUGUCAUUUGUUUUAUCUUAUUUGUAUGCAAAACUUAUUGAAUGUAAUAAAGUUGGACGCUUAUUUUCUAUAUAUAUUACAUAUAUUUUACUUCACUUACUUUAUGUAUUUUCUUUGAAAAAAAAUCAAAAAUAAAUUAUUUUUGUUAAGUUUUUCCCAAACUACACAGAGAUCUGAUUCAUACCCUGGAAUAAUACAUAAGCAACCCUCCAAAGGGUUCGAUCAAAAAUUUUCAAAAAGUGCAUCUAGAAAAGCCGGGAUGAAACACCAAAGCCUUCAUGAUAGGUUGGGAAAUGCAUAUAGGGGGCAUAACAUGCAUGUCAUUAUAAUGAGUUAAAUAUGUAACACUCACCCAUUUUCUACUUGGUUCAGAAAAAAUAAAGCAGUUGGUGGUUGGUUUGUGGUUUAAACUGGCAUCUUAUUCAUACAACAUAAGCUAUGAAGAAAAGAGAAAGAUGACCUGCAAAGAGGGUGUAGAUUCUAACAGUGAUGAAGAUCAAAAUCACUUGAUUUCAUAGGAGUUUGCAUCAAUUAAGGAAAAUAAGUUAUUAAAAUAACAGAUAGUAGAGAUGUAUCAAGCUUGGAUGAAUAGAGAAGCCCCUCCUUCGUCAAUUCCUAGACUUUCGAAUAUGAAUUAUCUGAAUCCCACUCAAGCCCAAACUAGUGAUCUAUUUUACCCACCUGGAUUUGGCCCAUAUGCUAAUAUAUUUGGAGCUGCUGGUACUUUUACCAUGUGCCCAUCAAAUACAUCUGUCAUAAAUAACCCAUUUUUCACUCCCGUAACACCAGCUAAUAUGGGUACUCAAUUGACCGUACAAAAGACUACGGGUGAACCAAGUCAUGAUCAAUUAUAUCCUCUUGUCAACACAAUUCUCCUAUCGUGAUUGAGAAAACUUUUAUGAUUGAGGAGUAAGAAGAGAUAGCCAGGAAUAUGAGAAGUUUGGAACAGAAUAUGAGGAACAUGCAAGGACAAAGAGGGCAAAAGAGUGUUCUAUUCAAAGAUUUGCGUAUGUUUCCAGAUGUCUAUUUGCCGCUAGGAUUUAAAUCUCCUAAGUUUGACAAGUACAAAGGCCAUAGCGAUCUUGUGAAUCAUUUGAAAAGGUUUGGUAAUCAACUGAGAGGAGAAGAGGGAAAAGAAGAGUUGUUGAUGGAUUAUUCUAGAGAAAGUCUAGCGGGGAUAGUUUCAAAUGGUUCAUUGACCAAGAUAUUUCUCAUUGGCAAAUUUAGGAUGACAUGGCUCGGGAUUUUUUCCAGCAAUUUCAAUAUAAUAUUGAUAUGGUGCUAGAUCGCACCACACUCUCCAACAUGUGAAAAAAUAUAAUUGUAAGUUUUGGAGAAUAUGUUGUUAGAUGGAGGUAGCAAGCUACAAGAGUCAGACCAUCAAUAAAAAAGUAGGAGUUGAUUAAUAUUUUUCUACAGGCGCAGGAACCUGACUAUUUCCAUCAUUUUCUUUUUACUAUUGGAAAUACAUUUGCUAAGGUCUUUAAGGUCAGACAAAUAGUAGAAAAUGGAAUGAAGUUUGGAAAAAUCAUAAGUCAAGCUGGUUUAAAAGCAACAAUGCAAGCAAUUCAAAAUGGUUUAGGAAGUUUAGGUAGGAAGAAAAGAAAGGAGAAUGUAGAUACUGUUAUGCCAGUUCCACGAAAAAAUUUGAGAGGUUUGCGACACCCAUACGCACAAUCUCAAAUCCUAAAUUUAUGUACAAGACCCAUAUAGUCAUUAACGAUAUUAUGUUCCUCCCCAAAGCCCAUCAUAUUUUGUUCCAUCCCCUCAGUAUCCUAUUUACAAUGCACAACCAUAUGCCUAAGAUCCUUCUUACCCACAAUGGCGUGCACUGACCCUUCAUAAUCAUCCUCUAACUCCAUAAACAUACCCAAGCCCCUCUAGACUUAAUUUUCUCUCCAAGUAAAACAAUGAAAAAAGGCAGAAGCCAAAGGAUAGUUUCACACCAAUUAGAGAAUCAUAUACCAGCUUAUUCUAUAAAUUAAGACAAAAAGACAUGAUCACGAUUACUCCUCUUCUUGGGUACACACCUGAACCACAUUGAAGAAAUUGUGAUCCUAAUGUAUGAUGUAUUAUUCUAAUGUUCAGGGUCACAAAAGAUUGUCGUACUUUGAAAAGAGAAAUAGAAAGGAUGAUUCAAGAUAAAUUAGUUAUAGUGCAGGACAUUGAUAGUGGUGAAAGCUCUAGUCAUGUUGAUGUGCAAAUUGACUAAGAUGUCAAGCUCAACAAUUAGGAAGUCACUCUAUUCCCCAUGAAGAAGGAGUUUUGGUAGUCUAUUUUGUUUUUCUUUCUUCUACCUGAAUUAUUUUAGGAUUCUAGUUCAGAAUCAAUCUUGUCUUAUUUUCUUAUCAUUUCUAUUCAAAUCCUUUUAUUUCCUGUCAACAAAAUAUGUGUCCCUUUUAUUUUUAUUUUUUUAAUAUAUAUCUUUUAAUUGUCUUUCUUUUCUUCAGAGAGCUCUUUCUAUGGUGAUUCUAGUGAUAUCAUAUACAUGUUGAAUUUAUAGACUGGUCUUUAAACCCAUUCUAAUUCUAAAACAUCGAGCCAAGAAAUUAAGUUGAAAAAAAAAGAAUAUAAGAAAUAAAUAAAGUGUUAAGAUAUUUGGUGACCGAGUUAAAGCAUCACUUGAAUGAAUUAAGACAAUCACUGUGAUCAUCAAAGAAUGACUUGAUCAUCACUUAGGAGAUUCAAUUCAAGAAUUUCGAAUGGGAUAAAUCAGAGGAUAUAUAGUAUCUACUAUCAGAAGAAGAAAAAGCAAGUUAGCUCCAAAAAGGCAUGAGUCAUCCGUGCGAGGAAAGUAAAACACAUGUGGACCUACAUGUUUCAUAAGCAUGAAAGAAGUGACACACGUGGAUGUGCUUAGUGAGGGUCAGUAUUGAAAAAGAUGUGUAUGAUCUCAUGUUUCACUCUCAGAUUACUUGUUAUGGACUUACAUUUGUAAGGAUUGAUAUAAAAAAGACAUUUCAUUCUACUAUCCAAAUGUUGUGUCAUCUUUUGUUACCCUCUUUGAUCUUUGAUUAGAUUUUUCUUUCUUAACCAUCUUUUGGAAUCAAUUAAAGUCAAAAUUUCAAAUAAAAUAAUGAAAAAAAUUAAAAUCAAAAUCAAGCAAAAGAAUGAGUUUCUUAAACUAUGUUUGACCUGAUUCUUGCUAUGACAAGAUACGUAGGCAGCCCUACUCUGGAGUUCAGUCCAACCAAGAGAAAAUUAAAGUUACUCGGCAUAAAAUAAAACUGGGGUAAAAAUUAUUCUCUUUAAAAGUCAAUUCCAAAAUUUGUAUACUUCACCCAAUGUCAUGUAUAUUUUGUAGCCUCAUGUCGCCCUUUCUUUCUAACCCUUUCCAAAAUCCAAGUUACAACUAAUGAAAGACCUUUCGAUCGAUUUUUGAGAAUGUCAAGGCUAAACAUGUUAUAGGUGCAUGAUGUUUCAUACUUUGGGCAUCGUUUUCCUUACAAAAAAAGUGAUAGAAUCUUAUUGGUGAAAACCCCAAAGGUCACCAUAAAGCGACAACAAGUUGAGAAAGAAAUGAAAAUAAGAUAGGAUCGUUGGAGAAAACCCAUUGAAGUGCCACUAGCAGAAGGAGGAUUGUGAUCUAGAGAGAGCAUGUUUAAGAAUGGCUAUAUUUCAAAUUCAAUAAGUGGGAAAAAGUUGUAAUGAUUAGUGUGGGUAGAUCAUGUUGUUUAAUUCAAAAUGCAUGCCCUAAUCACUGCAAUCGGCUACCACACCCAAAUAAGUUUUUCUUUUUUUCGUUUCAAAAAAGAGAUGCCUAUUGUCUUUUACUUUUAUUUUUAUUUUUGUAUCUUUGUCAUCAAAUAAAAAAUCAUUGUCAUAUUUCGCAUAUUUUUUGAGUCGAAUUCACGUCAAUUCAAGUAAGAAAGGACUUCAAAACUUGCUACCAACUCUUUCAAUUAUACGAAGCAUGAUAAAGGGCUGACGCACACACAUAAUACAUAUCAAAAUAAAGUAAGGUACUUACAAAUGCUUGUGACCUGACAGUUUUUGGACUCAUGGAAAUAUUAAAGGUGUAUUAGUAUUUAAACCUAGAGACAUCAUGUAAGAGAAAUAUAAUUUGAUUGAAUAGUUUCAGUGGUCAGAAUUUAGGGUUAAAAAUAUGAUAAGUCAAUAAAUACUUAUCAAUGAUUUGAAAAGAAGUUGACCAUGGGCAAGAGCGGUCAUUUCAAAAGCCAAAUGCCACAAACAAACCACCAUAUGUUUUAAAACUCACAAUUUUUCUUUGUUUGAAACAGAGAUGGAAUGUUGUCUUCACAUUAAAGUUUUCAAAUAAAGGAUGCAAUUCCACACUUUUGUCAAUGCAAGAAACAAGGUUACAACACACGAAUGUUGGAUUUUGGUCAUUAUAAAUUUUAUUCUUUGCUAGAUGUUCUUACCAAGUUAUUCCAGAAUUUGAUUCAUCCUUUCACUGUAUUUUUCAAAAUAUUAAGAUUCGAUAACACUCACAAAUUUUUCCAGUACAAACUAGGAAAAAAUUUUAUAUGUGUGGCAUGGGAAAUUUAUUUUAUGUUUAGGACCCUCCGAGAUAAUGGAAAUUUAUUUUAUGCUCAGAACCCUACUAGAUAAUGAGAAUUUAUUUUAUGCUCCGGACACUCCUGGAUAAUGGGAAUUUACUUUUUGCUCAGGACUGUAAUACCCCGAGACUGCACCCUGGAUGGCACUUUUUACUCAGGACUGUAAUGCCCCAAGACUGCACCCUGGAUGCCACACGGUGCUUACAACCCUGAAGGACCACAAGCUAACCCAUGGUUGGUACCUGUUGUGCGCACUGAAUAAUAAUACUGAAAUAAUGAGGAAAAUAGGCUUAAAUGCCAUAAGGUUCAUAAUCUAAAUAAUGAUAAAAUAUAGUACUGAAGUAACAUCUGAAAAACUGGAUACUGUUAGAAAUAGUCUAGUCUAAAAAGCCUCUAACUGAACUGUAUAAAUAUGGAGUUAAUGGGACAAGACCCCAACUAACUCCGACUAAAGCUACUAAACUGAACAGAAGCUACUUAAAAUACUGAAAUAAAAGUAUAUCCUUGAUAGAUAAGGACUCACUACUGAAUCUACGACUGCUUACUGAAUCUAUCUAAGCCCGGUCAGGAACCUGAGCGUCUGAACCUAUGAUAUGAGACAUCAUAGCACUAAGAUAAAGUAUGCAUCGGUAUGUAGAAUGUACUGGUAUGCUAGAUGAGGUAAGGAUGAAUGCAGGGGUUCAUAUGCAUAAAUAAUAAUUGACUGAAUGAUAUGUAGAAACUGAAUAAAAGGACAUGGAUAACUGGGACUACUAUAAAAUAUUGAGUAAGCAAUACUGUGCAUAUACAUGUAUACUAUAUCUGAGCUCUCACUGAAGCUGAGUACUAAUUUCUGAUAACUGAGUAAAUAAUAUCUAAGAUUUACUGAUAACUAAAUUUCUGAUACUGAUUGACUGUGUCUAAUAGUCCUGAUUCUGUAGAACUGAACUGAGUUCUAUACUAAGACUAAAACUGAAAUUAUAGGAAGUAAUCAGCUAACGAACAUGCCCCUCACUAAAUGGAUUGGGGUCCAACCUAUAACCCUAGUUGGAAGGGUGUCAAUACCAUGCCACGAGUAAAGACAAGCUGAAGAUUCACCCUCAUCUGGAAGGUGCCCUAAACAAGAACGGUGAUACCCUUGACUGGUAGGUAAAAAACCUUAUCAACCCUUAACUGGAAGGUUGAUAUCUCAACAUAUGCUGGCUACGUAAUUAUGGAAUGCAAGGAAUACCACUAAGGGUCACACACUCUACUGGCAUGUGAGCCCCCAUACUUGGGUUCACUCGGUGCUGAGUCCUACUCCUAACUGAAUAGACACUGAACUGAUUACUAGACUGUACUGGGUUAGGAUGAACUGUUAAUGAUCAUGAUGACUGACUGAACUGUACUGAGUUCACUGAGUUCUGUAACUGACUGAAUACUACUGAUCGUAACAUUACUGAGACUAUUUUGUAACUAUUGUAGCUCUAGGUAAAUAGAUAGAUUUUUGGGUAAUGAAUAUCUCUAGGACUCGAUAGCAUUGAAAGUAAAGCAUAAAAUAAUCUUAAAAGCAUAAUAAUACUUGCUUGCUAACAAUGUAUUCAUUUAGACAUUUUGUCAAACACUUGAUGUACAUAAGCUUGUACAUGAAUGGGAUCACAUAAUAACAUGUCAUGCUUUCACUAGUCAAUUCACAUAAGCAUUUUAUCAAACACUUGGGGAGCAUGGUUAUUUCACAUAAUACUAGUCAACACAUGAACAUCGUGAAUACAAUAAUCAAUUGUAAAUUCAAGGUUUUAGCAUGCAAUUCAUAUAAUUUCUCAUACAAACUAUUUUAAUUUCAUGAGACUUGUAAUUAAAUCAUGAAUUGAAACCCAAUUAAUAUCAUGAACCUGAAUAUAAUUAAUUUCAAGCAUAAAAAUCAUAAAUAUAUAAACCUGUAUGUUUAAAUAGGGUUCUUGGACUCCAUGGGUGAAAGGAACCCAUAAAUGAACACCUAACAUACCUGAGAGAAUUAAUUCUUGAAGGUUCUUGGAGGGAUGCUUGAGAAUUAUUCUUGUUUCUUAAAAACUAGGGUUUUGCCCUUUUUUUUUUGAGAGAAAAUGUUUUAAUCUUGAGAGAAAGUGAGUGAAUAAUGAAAUAAUUAGAAAUUAGUGCUCUUUUAGGGCUUAAUUUCAUGUUUAGGACUGAUUAGGGUCGUGGAAAAAUACCAAAUUACCCCUGAAAAGUUAUUCAAAUUCGUUACUGAAAAUCUUGAUUUUAGGUUUCACCGUGAUGCGGUGGCAUUUUAGUGAGCCACUCAAAUUAGGAUGGCACUGUUCAUAAAGGGACGAGCAUGAAAUUGACCCUUGGAGCGAUGCAGCACCAUCGCGGAGUCUCAUUGGAUUUUGACAAUUGGGAAAAAGGUCCUUGGCGCGACGCGGUGAGAUCGUGGUCCCUCACUGAAAAAUGAUAAUUGUGAACUGGAACAUUGGCGUGAUGCGCCAUUAUCAUGGAGAUUCACUGGAAACUGAUGAAUGUUAUUUGACUGGCCUCCGCGACGCGUUUAUGUGCCAUUUUGAAAACUAUUUUAUAAAAUAUUAUAUAAUUUCUCUCUCGAUUAUCGGAUUUGGGAAAAUUUUAUAUCGUUAGAAAGCUGACUGAAUUUCCUACACAAUGGCGGGUCUUAAACUGGAAAAUUCUAAGUAUUUUGAAAAUUUUAUAUAUGAAUACUCAUGUAUUGAGAGCUAAACUGAGCUAGGGAAAUAUGAGGUAUUACAAUAUCUCCCUCUUGGGAACAUUCAUCCUCGAAUGAGACUGUUUAAGUUGAGAAACACUGAUGGACUGAGUUUACACACUAGACAUGAACAAAUAAAACAUGGAAUACAUGACUGAAACUACUGAUAAGCUAAGUUUCCGUACUAAACAUACAUAUCUUAUGCAUGAGUACAUGGCUAAACUGAUUCAUGAAUGAAUGACUGUCAUGAAGAUUAUAUGCAACGAUAGCUGAUUCUAAGUUUAUAACUGUAAUUGAACAUGGAACUGAGUAAAUCUAAGGAAGACUAUUACCUCAAGUUAAAUUUGAGUUUAUGGAGAAGAGGUGAGGGUACUUGGUCCGCAUAUCUGCUUCUGCUUCCGAAGUAGCUCUCUCAAUGGACUAUUCCACCAAAGAACUUUGACCAAGGGAACUUCUUUGUUCCUCAGUCAGUGAAUCUGACGAUCGAAUAUUUGGACUGGAACCUCUUCAAAAGAGAGAUCGUUCUGAAUAUCUACACCCUCUAAGAGAACUAUGACUGCAGGGUCACCAAUGCAUUUCUUUAACAAGGGGGCGUGGAAUACUGUGUUUACUGAAGCUAGGUAUGAAGGCAACUCAAGCUCGUAAGCUACCAUUCAAAAAUGGCUGAGAAUUCUAUAAGGACCGACAUAUUAGGGACUGAGCUUCCCUUUUUUUGCCGAACCUCUUCUCUCCCUUCAUGGGUGAUAUUUUCAAGUACACAAAAUCAUCAACCUCAAAUUCGAGAUCUUUUCUCCAGAUAUCUGCAUACGAUUUCUGUUAGCUCUGGGCUGCCCUAAGCCUUUCUCUGAUCAACUAAACCUUCUCUAAGGUAUCAAUCACUAAAUUAGGAAUUACUACAGCGGCCUCACCUACCUUGAACCAACUAAUUGGAGAUCUACAUCUCCUACCAUAAAAAGCCUCAAACGGAGUCAUCUAGAUAUUGGAAUGAUAACUAUUUUUAGAUGUGAAUUCGAUCAAAGGCAAGUGGUAAUCCCAACUACCCUUAAAAUCAAUAAUGCAUGCCCUGAACAUAUCUUUUAAAGUCUGAAUGGUCCUUUCUGCUUGACCAUCUGUCUGAGGGUGAAAAAUUGUACUGAGGUGAUCUUGGGUACCAAGACCCUUCUAGAAUUAUUUCCAAAAAUGAGAGGUAAACUGGGUACCUCUCUCUAAAUUAAUUGAUACUGGGACUCCGUAUAACCUAACCAACUCUCUGAUAUAGAGUUUGGCGUAGUCCUCAACUGAACAGAAAGUAUGGACUGACAAGAAAUAAGCUGAUUUGGUCAUCCUAUCUAUAAUGACCCAAAUAGAAUCAUGCUGAUGACGAGUACGAGGCAAACCCAUCACAAAGUCCAUGUUCACUUCUUUCCAUUUCCAUGUGGGAAUACUAAACUCUUGCAUGGACCCGCUAGGGUUUUGGUGCUCAAUCUUAACCUGCUGACACGUAGAGCACCUAGCUAUAAGCUCUGUGAUAUCCUUCACCAUCCCACUCCACAAAUGUACCUCCCUCAAAUUUUGGUACAUCUUAGUGGCCCCGGGAUAAAUCGAGUAGCACACACCAUGCACUUCUGCAAGAAUUCAUUGCCUCAAGUCAUCUACACCUGGCACGCGUAGCCGACCUUGGCAAUGCAACACACCAUCUCCCCCUUUGGAGAAAACCUCUACUUUCUAAUCUCUGACUAACUUUUUCAACUUAACUAGACUGGGAUUUCUAUCCUACUUUUCCUUUACUUUGAAAACUAGAAAUGUUUCUGAACUAUUCUGCACCCACACACUAUCCUCUGCUGAAUCGAUAAAGUAGACACCUAGUCGGGCAAGCUGAUGAACUUCCUAAACUAACUUUUUCUUACCAUUCUCAACAUGAGCAACACUACCCCUAGACAACCUACUGAGAGCAUCAGCCACUACAUUGGCCUUACUCGUAUGAUACAGAACACUUAUUUCAUAAUCUUUCAACAACUCUAACCACCUUCUCUGAUGCAAAUUCAAAUCUUUCUGAAAGAACACAUACUGCAAGCUUUUAUGAUUUGUGAACACAUCAAUAUGCACCCCAUACAAUAAUUCCUCCAAAUUUUCAAGGCAAACACAACAGCUACUAACUCAAGAUCAUGGGUAGGGUAAUUCUUCUCAUGUGGAUUAAGUUGUCUAGAGACAUAGGCUAUGAACUUAACUCUCUGCAUUAGGACACAACCCAAACCUACUCUGGAAGCAUCAUAAUACACAACAAACCCAUCUGACCCAUCUGGUAGAGUCAAAACUGAGGUUGUAGUGAGUCAAGUCAUCAACUCCUAAAAACUCUUCUCACAAGAAUCUAACCACUGGAACUUGACUUUUUCUUGAGUCAAUCUAGACAUGGGGGAUGCAAUAGAUAAAAAACCUUCAACAACCCGAUGGUAAUAGCCAGCCAAACCCAAGAAGCUCAUGAUAUCUAAUAGAGAAAUAGGUCUACGCCAGUUUCUUACUACCUCGGUCUUUUGAGAAUCAACUUUAAUGCCAUCACCAGAGAUAAUAUAAUCAAUGAAUGCUACUGACCAUAGCUAAAAUUCGCACUUACUAAAUUUGGCAAACAACUGAUGGGCUCUGAGAGUCUGAAGUACAAUUCUAAGGUGAUCUACGUGAUUAUUCUCUCUACGGGAAUCGACAAGAAUGUUAUUAAUAAAGACUUUAACGAACAUGUCCAAGUACUUCUUGAAAACACAAUUCAUUAAGUCCAUGAAGGUUGCUGGUGCAUUAGUGAGAUCAAAGGACAUGACUAUAAAUUCGAAGAGACCAUACCAUGUUUAGAAAGUUGUUUUUGGAAUGCCACAUUCUAUGACUCUGAGCUGAUGAUAGCCUGAUCUGAGGUCUAUCUUAGAAAAUUAACUGGAGCCCUAAAGUUGGUCAAAUAAGUCAUUGAUUCUAGGAAGUGGGUAUUUGUUCUUGACUAUAAAUUUGUUUAGCUGACGAUAGUCUAUACACAUUCUAAGAGAACCAUCUUUAUUAUGCACGAACAAGACUGGUGCAGCCCAUGGGGACAUGCUGGGUCUGAUGAACCCCUUGUCUAAAAGGUCCUUUAACUACUCUUUUAACUCUCUGAGUUUAUCUGGAGCCAUUCUGUAUGGCAAAAUAGAUAUAAGCUGAGUAUCUGGAAGAAGGUCUAUUUCGAAGUUAAUUUCCCUUACGGAAGGAACUCCAGGAAGAUCUUUGGGAAACACAUCUGGGAACUUUUUUACUACGGGAACUA
rnacentral:lncRNA from 1 species